rnacentral:misc_RNA from 1 species
GAAAUGCGAUACGUAAUGUGAAUUGCAAAUUCAGUGAAUCAUCGAGUCUUUGAACGCACAUUGCGCCCCCUGGUAUUCCGGGGGGCAUGCCUGUCCGAGCGUCAUUUCUGCCCUCAAGCACGGCUUGUGUGUUGGGCCCCGUCCUCCGAUCCCGGGGGACGGGCCCGAAAGGCAGCGGCGGCACCGCGUCCGGUCCUCGAGCGUAUGGGGCUUUGUCACCCGCUCUGUAGGCCCGGCCGGCGCUUGCCGAUCAACCCAAAUUUUUAUCCAGGUUGACCUCGGAUCAGGUAGGGAUACCCACUGAACUUAAGC